rnacentral:lncRNA from 1 species
CUCCCUCUCUCUCUCUCUCUCUCUCUCUCUCUCUCUAUCUCUCGCAAUCGCAACGGAGACGUGCUUGUGCUGUGACUGACUUGGGCUCUCUUCACUGUUUGCAUGUGGGCAGAUGUCAGGUAAAAAAGCAGAGUCCAUGAUAGAGAAAAGUGAAUAAGAGAAUAUAACAGAGCGAUGGAGAGAGAGAUGGAGAAUGACUUUUGUUCUUGUUUUCUUGCUUUCUCAGUGAAGAGCGGUCUUUAAAAAACCAGUCUUUUUAAAAUAACAGAAAGAAAGAAAGAAAAACCCAGUCUUUCCAGCAAUUCCCAGUUGCCAUGUAUCCUUAACCGAUUCUUCCCAUCUCUCUCUCUCUCUCUGCCUUUCACAUCCGUUGGAUUAUUGCAGCUGUCGCUAUCUCGAGGGGCAUAUAUUUAUUCAAUUUUCCUCCGUCGUGCAUUUAUCUUCAUGUGACUUUGAUUUCCCAUUCACAUUAUUUN